rnacentral:lncRNA from 1 species
GCUUUUGAUGACAACAUCAAUUUUGGUGAGAUGCGGCUAUAUUUUCGGCGAUUGGACGAUGAUUUUUCAUAACAUUAAAUGUUAUUCCGGCAAGACGGGCUUUUGACGGUUACAUCUCAAGAUUUUGACAUCAAAGCAAGGUAUUUUUUCUUUUCCAUAACGUUAAGUCAUCAAUUGGAUGUAGUUGGGUGUAUAUUUGUGUAUAUUUCAUGAUAGAUGAGCAUUUGGGGAAUAUUGUUUUGUUUUAAGUUUUCUAUUAGCAAUGGCACAUUAGGUGUUUGAUAAAAUGCCUCUUAGACUUUAUUUGUCUCAUUUUUUAUAGAUUAAGGUAUUAUGGGUUGAUGGUGGCAUGGGGGAAUUGUUGCAUUGCAAUUGUUUCCGAAAACGAUGUGUUACCGUGCGAGGAUCAGGUUGCUAGAAUUAGCCCAUCGCUCAGGUGAUAGGCGCCCGUUGCCCAAUCAAGAUUGCGUGAUUUGUUUUUUGAACUUUGGGCGACGAGUGAGAAGCAUCAUUGUUGCUAGAAUUUAGGGCGAGGGGCACCCGUCGCCCAAAAAUCCAAAAGCAACGUUGUUGGAAUUUUGGCCCAUCGCCCGGGCAACAACACUCGUCACCC